rnacentral:rRNA from 1 species
GUAGGUGGCAAGCGUUGUCCGGAAUUAUUGGGCGUAAAGCGCGCGCAGGUGGUUCUUUAAGUCUGAUGUGAAAGCCCCCGGGCUCAACCGGGGAGGGUCAUUGGAAACUGGGGAACUUGAGUGCAGGAGAGGAAAGUGGAAUUCCACGUGUAGCGGUGAAAUGCGUAGAUAUGUGGAGGAACACCAGCGGCGAAGGCGACUUUCUGGCCUGUAACUGACACUGAGGCGCGAAAGCGUGGGGAGCAAACAGGAUUAGAUACCCUGGUAGUCCACGCCGUAAACGAUGAGUGCUAAGUGUUGGGGGGUUUCCGCCCCUCAGUGCUGCAGCUAACGCAUUAAGCACUCCGCCUGGGGAGUACGGCCGCAAAGACUG